AGUGAACGCUGGCGGCAGGCCUAACACAUGCAAGUCGAACGGCAGCACAGGAGAGCUUGCUCUCUGGGUGGCGAGUGGCGGACGGGUGAGGAAUAUAUCGGAAUCUACCCUUUCGUGGGGGAUAACGUAGGGAAACUUACGCUAAUACCGCAUACGAACUGAGGUUGAAAGCGGCGGACCGCAAGGCGUCGCGCGGAUGGAUGAGCCGAUAUCCGAUUAGCUAGUUGGCGGGGGAAAGGCCCACCAAGGCGACGAUCGGUAGCUGGUCUGAGAGGAUGAUCGGCCACACUGGAACUGAGACACGGUCCAGACUCCUACGGGAGGCAGCAGUGGGGAAUAUUGGACAAUGGGCGCAGGCCUGAUCCAGCCAUGCCGCGUGUGUGAAGAAGGCCUUCGGGUUGUAAAGCACUUUUGUUGGGAAAGAAAAGCGGUCGGUUAAUACCCGGUCGUUCUGACGGUACCCAAAGAAUAAGCACCGGCUAACUUCGUGCCAGCAGCCGCCGUAA
rnacentral:rRNA from 1 species